ACUCUGUGAUGUUCCAGUAGAUCCUGCUGACCCUCCUCUGUGUACUCCAUAGAAGGGCAGGAAUUCUAUAGCAGAGA
rnacentral:snoRNA from 1 species